UACGUAGGGGCCUAGCGUUGUCCGGAUUUAUUGGGCGUAAAGAGCUCGUAGGCGGCUUGUCGCGUCGACUGUGAAAUCCCGCGGCUCAACUGCGGGUCUGCAGUCGAUACGGGCAGGCUAGAGUUCGGUAGGGGAGACUGGAAUUCCUGGUGUAGCGGUGAAAUGCGCAGAUAUCAGGAGGAACACCGAUGGCGAAGGCAGGUCUCUGGGCCGAUACUGACGCUGAGGAGCGAAAGCGUGGGGAGCGAACAGG
rnacentral:rRNA from 1 species